UACAGAGGUCUCAAGCGUUGUUCGGAUUCAUUGGGCGUAAAGGGUGCGUAGGCGGCGCGGUAAGUCGGGUGUGAAAUCUUGGAGCUUAACUCCGAAACUGCAUUCGAUACUGCCGUGCUUGAGGACUGGAGAGGAGACUGGAAUUUACGGUGUAGCGGUGAAAUGCGUAGAUAUCGGAAGGAACGCCCGUGGCGAAAGCGAGGUCCUGGACGCCUACUGACGCUGAGACGCGAAAGCCAGGGGAGCGAACGGG
rnacentral:rRNA from 1 species